GGGGCUGUAGCUCAGUGGUAGAGCGCUUGCCUGACAUGUGUGAGGCACCCGGUUCGAUCCUUAGCACCA
rnacentral:tRNA from 1 species